rnacentral:rRNA from 1 species
UGCAAGUCGAGCGGAUGACGGGAGCUUGCUCCUUGAUUCAGCGGCGGACGGGUGAGUAAUGCCUAGGAAUCUGCCUGGUAGUGGGGGACAACGUUUCGAAAGGAACGCUAAUACCGCAUACGUCCUACGGGAGAAAGCAGGGGACCUUCGGGCCUUGCGCUAUCAGAUGAGCCUAGGUCGGAUUAGCUAGUUGGUGAGGUAAUGGCUCACCAAGGCGACGAUCCGUAACUGGUCUGAGAGGAUGAUCAGUCACACUGGAACUGAGACACGGUCCAGACUCCUACGGGAGGCAGCAGUGGGGAAUAUUGGACAAUGGGCGAAAGCCUGAUCCAGCCAUGCCGCGUGUGUGAAGAAGGUCUUCGGAUUGUAAAGCACUUUAAGUUGGGAGGAAGGGCAGUAAGCUAAUACCUUUCUGUUUUGACGUUACCGACAGAAUAAGCACCGGCUAACUCUGUGCCAGCAGCCGCGGUAAUACAGAGGGUGCAAGCGUUAAUCGGAAUUACUGGGCGUAAAGCGCGCGUAGGUGGUUCGUUAAGUUGGAUGUGAAAGCCCCGGGCUCAACCUGGGAACUGCAUCCAAAACUGGCGAGCUAGAGUACGGUAGAGGGUGGUGGAAUUUCCUGUGUAGCGGUGAAAUGCGUAGAUAUAGGAAGGAACACCAGUGGCGAAGGCGACCACCUGGACUGAUACUGACACUGAGGUGCGAAAGCGUGGGGAGCAAACGGGAUUAGAUACCCUGGUAGUCCACGCCGUAAACGAUGUCAACUAGCCGUUGGAAUCCUUGAGAUUUUAGUGGCGCAGCUAACGCAUUAAGUUGACCGCCUGGGGAGUACGGCCGCAAGGUUAAAACUCAAAUGAAUUGACGG